rnacentral:rRNA from 1 species
GAUGAACGCUGGCUACAGGCUUAACACAUGCCAGUCGAGGGGAAACGACGGGGAAGCUUGCUUCCCCGGGCGUCGACCGGCGCACGGGUGAGUAACGCGUAUCCAACCUGCCUCUGACUGAGGGAUAACCCGUCGAAAGUCGGCCUAAUACCUCAUGGCAUCGUCUGCGGGCAUCCAACGACGAUUAAAGAUUUCAUCGGUCAGAGAUGGGGAUGCGUCUGAUUAGCUUGUUGGCGGGGUAACGGCCCACCAAGGCGACGAUCAGUAGGGGUUCUGAGAGGAAGGUCCCCCACAUUGGAACUGAGACACGGUCCAAACUCCUACGGGAGGCAGCAGUGAGGAAUAUUGGUCAAUGGGCGAGAGCCUGAACCAGCCAAGUAGCGUGCAGGAGGACGGCCCUAUGGGUUGUAAACUGCUUUUAUGCGGGGAUAAAGUGAGGGACGUGUCCUUCAUUGCAGGUACCGCAUGAAUAAGGACCGGCUAAUUCCGUG